rnacentral:rRNA from 1 species
AUUGAACGCUGGCGGAAUGCUUUACACAUGCAAGUCGAACGGCAGCACGGACUUCGGUCUGGUGGCGAGUGGCGAACGGGUGAGUAAUAUAUCGGAACGUGCCCAGUCGUGGGGGAUAACGUAGCGAAAGUUACGCUAAUACCGCAUACGAUCUAUGGAUGAAAGCGGGGGAUCGCAAGACCUCGCGCGAUUGGAGCGGCCGAUAUCAGAUUAGGUAGUUGGUGGGGUAAAGGGCUCACCAAGCCAACGAUCUGUAGCUGGUCUGAGAGGACGACCAGCCACACUGGAACUGAGACACGGUCCAGACUCCUACGGGAGGCAGCAGUGGGGAAUAUUGGACAAUGGGCGCAAGCCUGAUCCAGCCAUGCCGCGUGUGUGAAGAAGGCCUCGG